rnacentral:rRNA from 1 species
GACGAACGCUGGCGGCGUGCUUAACACAUGCAAGUCGAGCGGAAAGGCCCUGCUUUUGUGGGGUGCUCGAGUGGCGAACGGGUGAGUAACACGUGAGUAACCUGCCCUUGACUUUGGGAUAACUUCAGGAAACUGGGGCUAAUACCGGAUAGGAGCUCCUGCUGCAUGGUGGGGGUUGGAAAGUUUCGGUGGUUGGGGAUGGACUCGCGGCUUAUCAGCUUGUUGGUGGGGUAGUGGCUUACCAAGGCUUUGACGGGUAGCCGGCCUGAGAGGGUGACCGGCCACAUUGGGACUGAGAUACGGCCCAGACUCCUACGGGAGGCAGCAGUGGGGAAUAUUGCACAAUGGGCGGAAGCCUGAUGCAGCAACGCCGCGUGCGGGAUGACGGCCUUCGGGUUGUAAACCGCUUUCGCCUGUGACGAAGCGUGAGUGACGGUAAUGGGUAAAGAAGCACCGGCUAACUACGUG